GUUCCGCGGUGCUGUCUGGAGCCGUACGGUUCGCGUUUGGGGCACAGGGGCCCCUCUUGCUGGUGCGGAUGGGAAAGGCGCGGGGUCGAGUCAGCGUCCCUCUCGAUGUUGGUUUCUUCGUUUUACAAAUAACACUUGGGCGGGGCGCGGUGGCUCACGCCUGUAAUCCCAGCAUUUUGGGAGGCCGAGGCGGGCGGAUCACGAGGUCAGGAGAUCGAGACCAUCCUAGCUAACAUAGUGAAACCCCAUCUCUACUAAAAAUUAGAAGAAAUUAUCCGGGCGUGGUGGCAGGCGCCCGUAAUCCUAGAGGAGAAUCGCUUGAACCCGGGAGGCGGAGGUUGCAUUGAGCCAAGAUCACGCCAUUGCACUCCACCCUGGGCGACAGAGCGACGAGACCCCGUAUCAAAAA
rnacentral:lncRNA from 1 species